rnacentral:other from 1 species
ACUGUGUUUGCAUGGGUCGCUCGGAAUCGUGACCUGGGCAGUAGCUCUAAGUUUUGCUACAACCCGUUCGACGUCUCUUACUUUCCUGCAACCCAGCCCAGUACUCUUUCAGGUGAAAGAGACUGUCAUUAAUUUUUAGCGUCAAAGGAAAUAAGAAAUGUCCCAACGUCAGAGCGGCACCGUCAAAUGGUUUAACGACGAGAAAGGUUUCGGUUUUAUCACGCCUGAAAGCGGUCCGGAUCUGUUCGUCCAUUUCCGUGCUAUUCAGGGUAGCGGCUUCAAGAGCCUGAAAGAAGGUCAAAAAGUGACUUUCAUCGCCGUGCAAGGCCAGAAAGGCAUGCAGGCUGACGAAGUCAGCGCAGAAGCCUAAACUUAAGCUUUAUUACACAAAAAAGCCCCUGAUGGCGACAUCGGGCGCUUUUUU